GUAUCAGCCUACUGAGACCUCUCUGCCAGCAAGGAGUCCAUCUGGGAACCAGUGACCCUGCUCACAUGUGGUGUAAGUACAGCUACAGCUCCAGGUUUGAACACAACAGACAGGACGUGGUUAGCCCUUCCAGAGCCAGGGUGGUGGUCAGCCAUCAGCUCUGGUCUCGACGCAGCAGCAGCAUUGACGAGGACCACCAGCAGUGCCUCAGCCAGGCCUCACCCACAGCCUGCUGUCCCAGCAGUUGGCCUAACUCUGAUGAUCUGGUUUCCUAACCCAGAAUACACUGAAAGCUCAGGGUCUGUUUCUUCCCAUCCUCUAAGCAGUGCUGUCGUUUAGCCCUCACCGAUCACCAGAAACAGCAAACAAACUGUUGGAGGGAGUGGAUCUUUAGGGUUUAACCCCCUAUUUUGUCUCGUUUUAAACUAAAGAUUAAUAAUAUAUCGUUUGUUAAGCGUCUCGAAGGUGAGGUGAUGAGUAAUGGCACAGCACUGUAAUUCUUGUCUUUAAAAUGACUGUUGGUUUUUACAAAGACAUCGUGAGCCUCGAACAUCUGUGUGGGACUGGGAGCUGUUUGUGUGUCACUGCUGACUUUGGGGGUUUCUCUGGGUGAAGGUGUUACUGGGUGUUUGACAGACUCUUGUUCUGAUGAUAGUGACUUACAGGGUCUUGCUUGAUGAUCAAAUAUUUACUAAAUGGUCUAUGAUGUGCAAAUUGAUGGUAUUAAAAUUUGAGCAGUUUGACUUGAA